GCCCAGGUUGUCAGGGUUGAUGGGCAGUGUCAUGUUGGUCCCCUCUCUCAUCUUGGCAAAUGAAUGACAUUCCUCCCCGCCUUCCCGAGCAGGGAUGAUAGACAGCAGGCUCUCCCUCUCUAGCAGCUCCAUUCAGCCACCUUUCCCUGUGUUACUGGGGAGAUAGCGCUUCCUGCCUCCCAGUUCUUAGUUUAGAAAUGGACUUAGAAGGAACCUGAGGAGAAUAGCAGGAGGGUGGACAAAGUAUAAAUGCUGGAAGCUUCCAGGAGAAGGGAGGAGGAGAAAAAAACCAUACUACGUAAAUGAGGGUCACGUGUUCAGUGGCGGAGAGCAGUCACACGGUGGAUUAGCAGAUGCAUGAUGGGAAAGAUGUUGGGGAAGAGCGUCCCAGAAUGAGUGAGAAGGCCUAGAAUGUCAGAAUGUCACACCCAGGCCUUAGGCAUGAUCUGAAAGAAAGAUAUAGAAAAGAAGGAAAAAAUAAAAGUUACCCUCUCCUAACUAACCCUAAAAAGUUGGCUGGUUCCGUAGUGCUACAGGGUGGAAACUCUGUGGCAGUUUGCACUAAGGUAGGGGUUUCUGGGAGGGACAAAUACAUGAUUCCAUUAAGGGGCUAAUUAGUCCUUCCCUUCUCCUAGGUAUCUUCAGGUGAAUCAGAUUUCCUGGGGUGGGGCUGGGUGGACUUCUGCCAGGUUAUUGACUAGCCCAGUUGGAUUAACUCCUAAGGGAGAAAAUGCUAGUAUAUAAUGUUUGGGGAGGCUUAGACUACCAGGUCCCCACACUAGGCCAGGGGUAGAAUUUAGAUUCUACUCUGACCAGGAGGAAAAAGUUUUGCCUUAAUGGGCCUCAACAAAAUCUAAAUAUGUCUGCCUUUUCAUAUGGUAAUUUAGAUCCUCAAAGGUGGCAAAGCUAAUGUUUCUCUUUCUGGUUACCAGGGAAAUGGGUUCUAAAGUAGACGAUGAGGCGGGUGGGGUUCAUCUUCAAUAGCCUCUGAGGAUGUUGAUCUCUAUAGUCCUGGGCUUUUCACUGCUCUUCCUGGACUAUUCAGUUGGCCAGGGUGUGGAUGUUUGCCUGUUGGUCUCCCUGGGUACAGUACACCUCUGUGUGCAUCCGAAUGGAUGGAGCAUGAAGCCUGCAGGUUUCCCAUCUACAGAGGGGGCUCUGCAGCCCUUCUGGUGACCCAGCCUGGACGAAGCCUGGCCACCAGCCACCUAGAGAAAGGAAUGGUCUUACAUGAGGUCAGAGGUGCCUGAAAUCUGGAGCCAGAACCAGAGGUUAAAAUACAAUGCAGAUUCUCCUUCAUUCUGGAUGCAUGAAAUCAACACAGCUUUGUGCAUCUUGCCACCUGCUGGCAGCAUUCACUCCCUUCAAGGAGCUGAUUUGGAAGAGUGAUUGGAAAGUAAAUUUAAAGACUUCUUUACCUCUGGUGAUUUUAUUCAUAAAAGUGUUGUCUGCACAGUUGUCACUCUGUAGUGUCUGAAUGAGCACAGCUUGAAACGUUGUCAGGGACUUGGAGGUUAAGAACACCGGCUGCUCUUCCAGAGGUUCUGAGUUCAAUUCCCAGCAACCACAUAGUGGCUCACAACCAUCGAGAAUGAGAUCUGGAGCCCUCUUCUGGCCUGCAGGUGCACAUGCAGGCAGAA